UCACUAAUAAGAAUGAGUGGCAGGGACAGGGCGGCCUUGCAGCGCCCUGUGUGUUGGAAGGGAAGACCGUGCAGCGCGAUGGGGACCAGGGCGGCGGGCCGCAGCCAGGGUGUGGGUGGGCGACGGUCAAGGUGCCUUGAAGCGGAUUCUGUCCUCGGGAGCUGCGGUUCUUCUUCCUCCGCCCUCACUGGCGGGCGACCUUAGGCAGGGAGUGAAAUGCAACGGGAGCCCUGGAGGGAGGGUGAAGCCGCGCGUGCAGGAGGAACCUCCUUUUGGCGAGUUCAGGCCCCGCAGCUGCGGAGG
rnacentral:lncRNA from 1 species